AGCAAGAGCAGAUGCAGCCGGGUCCCCGGGUCCCCGGGUUGGACCCAAGACAGAGCUAAGGGAGCCAGGCGGGAGAGCUUUGGUGUUGUCUACAAGCGGGGGUGGGCCCUCUGGGUGCCAGACACCACUGCUGGGUGCGAGGAUCCCGACAGGAGUAGGACCUCAGAGCAGCUUCCACUUGGAUUGACAGACUUUAAUGAAAUCAUUCAACUUUAAGCCCUGCAUUAAGAAUAGUCCAGAAGUCGUGCUGAGGAGUGAAGAGGACGCUGAGCCCUCUUCAUCAGAGCGGCAGCAGCUGCUGUUGGAAAGCACUAGGUGGGCAGCAGCCUGAAAGGACACAUGUUUAAGGCACUGAAGUGAGUGGCUGUGAUGAGGGGCAAAUAGGAGCAAGUGUGGAGAAGGAAGAUGAAAAUCACCUAAAAUAGAGCACAAGCCUGACCCAGAACAGUGACAAGCAAUUGCUGGGCAUCAAACCCAGGGCCUCGUUUACGUGAGGCAGUGCUCUACCAUUGAGCUAUGGCCCCAAGCCCUAGCUCUGAGAAGGAUCCAGCUGGGGUCUGGAUCUUACUGCCACAAAGCUACUGAUCCUUGGCAUGUCCCCAGCCUCUGAUUCUCUCUGUCCCCCAAGCCCUGCUCCUGGCCCAGUGUUUUUGCCCAUUUGGCGCUCUGCUUGGGCAGGAUUGGCUCUUACCAGCAGACCCCAAGCCCUUUCCUUAGCAGUCCCACAGAUGGGGUGAGAACUGCUCAACCCUCCAAUUACAACAUUCCCUGCCCCUCUGCCUGAAUGCUAUCCUCUUGUUCUAAAGAAGAAGCCCUAACCUGGGCAUGGUGUGGCCCAUCUGUAAUCCCAGCACUCUGGAAAGCCAGAAUAGGAGGAUUGCAAGUUCAAGCCCAGCCUGGGCAACUUAGCAAUUUAGCAAAACCCUGUCUCCAAAUUAAAUAAAAAUAAAAGUGGCUAGAGAUGUAGCUUAGUGCCAAGCCCCUAGUCCACUCCCCAGUACUCUGGGGGAAAAAAAAAAAGGCAAGGGCUGAAAGGAAGGAGGGACCCUAAUCAUUCAAUGCUGACAUCUUUUCUCUUCAAAAUACCAAGAAAAGAUGAACACAGAAGGGUGGGGUGUGCCGUGUAAAUUCAACUUUUCCCUCCUGGGGCCCUCCUUGUGAUAGGAGCACGAAAGCAAUUCAUCACAGUAAUGGUUGCUGAUUCCUCUGCAUUACGGUGACUGAUAGCCAGGCUGCCUGCACCUUGUCUUCCCAGCAUUCACUAAAGAGUAAUCCUGCAGUUUGUGGAGGGCAGGGAUGGCCAAGGGCUAUGAGGCAAGGAAAGAGUCACAGCUAAGCUUGUGUAUGGUUGGAGGGGCAGACAGAGGUACACAGACUAACAGCUGAGACAGUUCCUAGAGAAAACACAAAGUUGCGCAUUUAGGUGAACUGCUUCAUCCUGGCUUGCUGAAUGCCUCCGACACACCCUUUCCAAGCAAAAGGGCAGACAGGAUCAUUGCAGGCUGAAUGCUGAACCCUGGGAAGUCACCAACCUCAAAGACAGACCCAGAGGAGGGACAUGGAGUGAUGGCAGACCUUGUAAAGGUCUUUUUACCCCUAACCCACUAAGCGUGGAAUUAAGGGACAUAGCGGGUUAAACAACAUCUCCCAAAA